rnacentral:rRNA from 1 species
CCUACGGGUGGCUGCAGUGGGGAAUAUUGGACAAUGGGGGCAACCCUGAUCCAGCCAUGCCGCGUGUGUGAAGAAUGCCCUCGGGUUGUAAAGCACUUUCAGUGAGGAAGAACGCCUGGUGGUUAAUACCCAUCAGGAAAGACAUCACUCACAGAAGAAGCACCGGCUAACUCCGUGCCAGCAGCCGCGGUAAUACGGAGGGUGCGAGCGUUAAUCGGAAUUACUGGGCGUAAAGCGCGCGUAGGUGGCUUGAUAAGCCGGUUGUGAAAGCCCCGGGCUCAACCUGGGAACGGCAUCCGGAACUGUCAAGCUAGAGUGCAGGAGAGGAAGGUAGAAUUCCCGGUGUAGCGGUGAAAUGCGUAGAGAUCGGGAGGAAUACCAGUGGCGAAGGCGGCCUUCUGGACUGACACUGACACUGAGGUGCGAAAGCGUGGGUAGCAAACAGGAUUAGAUACCCGUGUAGUC